rnacentral:rRNA from 1 species
AGUGAACGCUGGCGGUAGGCCUAACACGUGCAAGUCGAACGGCAGCACAGUAAGAGCUUGCUCUUACGGGUGGCGAGUGGCGGACGGGUGAGGAAUACAUCGGAAUCUACUUUUUCGUGGGGGAUAACGUAGGGAAACUUACGCUAAUACCGCAUACGACCUACGGGUGAAAGCAGGGGAUCUUCGGACCUUGCGCGAUUGAAUGAGCCGAUGUCGGAUUAGCUAGUUGGCGGGGUAAAGGCCCACCAAGGCGACGAUCCGUAGCUGGUCUGAGAGGAUGUUCAGCCACACUGGAACUGAGACACGGUCCAGACUCCUACAGGGGGAAGCAGUGGGGAAUAUUGGACAAUGGGCGCAAGCCUGAUCCAGCCAUACCGCGUGGGUGAAGAAGGCCUUCGGGUUGUAAAGCCCUUUUGUUGGGAAAGAAAAGCAGCAGGUUAAUACCCCGCUGUUCUGACGGUACCCAAAGAAUAAGCACCGGCUAACUUCGUG